rnacentral:lncRNA from 1 species
AAAUCUAAAAAAUGGCUUGUAAGAAACCGAUUGUAAAAUUUAAACCUUAAAAUUAUCUUUGAUAGAUUAAGCUCAGAGCUUGGGACCUAUACAGCUGUAAGGAUAGGCAAGUUCUUUAAUUUUGCACUAAUUGAAUAUUGAGUGUGACCACACUGGAUUUUUAUCCAAAGAUUUUGCACUUCAGCCAAUGAUUUAUCCCCUUUUGCACGGUUCAAAGAGUUAGCUUUUCUACUUAUUAUUAUUUGUGCUUUUU